CAGGGGAUGAGAUGAGGAUGAGGUGAAGGGGGCGCACAGGGGUGUACAUGGGGUGGGUGCGCAGAGGUAGGGGAGGAUGGAGGCGCGCAGGGGAUGAGAUGA